UAUAAUAAGAAAACAUAUGAGGCUUCUCUGAGAUGUUUAACUCCUUUCUUGGAGGUGCCCAGAUCUGAACCUGAAAGCAGGCACCACUCCAGAACUUCUGGUGGCUUCCAUGUUUGGCUUAGGAUUUGGGACUCUUCUUUAAAAGAGAAAGAAACUCCAAAAGAAGACAUCUCAGGGUAAUAAAACAGAAGCCCUUUCCCUCCCCGCAUUCUCUUUUCCUCUUUCUGAAACUGGUAAUGAAGUACCAAAAUAUAAGAGGAAAAAAACUGGCAGAAUGCUCCCAGGACUAAUUGAGUAUGUCGGGAUUAAAUCUGUUUGUAAAAGUAGAAGAGUAGAGAAAGGGAAAAUAUAUUUAAUAAAUUGAAGAUGAUAAAAGCAAGUGGAAGAGGAUAGGAGAAGCAUCAGAUCAGAGAGAGAAAGAAAUGAAACAUAUACACAGAAAGGAUAAUGACUAUCCUGUUGAAACCAAUAAAUUAAAAAGGGCCAGAUGUGGAGAGCCAGCUGUACAUCCUAUGGAAGAUUGAAACAAGACUGCUUAGAGGAAUUUAGGAGACUUGGCAAGGCCAGUUUCCCAGCAGAUAAUUUAUAUCAGAGCUGCCUGACAGUUGACAUGACCUGAGGGUAUUUUUGAGACAAAAUGCUUUAAAAAUAUGAAAAUAAGUAACAGGAUGAGCUUUGACUAAUAGAACAAGGAAAAUUCACAGCCUUGGUUAUAUUUUCUGUGAUUUUCUGGCAUUUGUGUAAUUUUAACAGAAAAAUAUGCUCAUCGAAGGGUAUAAAAACGAAGCUGAUAGAAAUAAAGUCAAUUCAAGAUGUAAGUUUGAACUUGCCUGGAUCCAUUCAUAUUUAUUUCAUUCAUUGCUUUGUCCAGCACUCACACCAGUUGCUGGCAUCUGCUUUUGUAUGAGCUUUCUCCAAUGUCUGGGGCAUCUCCCUCUAUUUUUGUCUAUUGGAAUCCCAUAUUACUUUAAAACACCAUUCAUUUAUAACUAUUUACAUGAGGCCUUUCCUGAUCUCUGUUCUUUCCCCAUCUUUAUUAUGCCCUUGCUUUGGACUGAUUUUCUAUUUUUAAUCCUAGGUUUUGACAUUCUAUUAGUAUAGGAAACCUCUGGUAAGGAAACUGUCUCAGCUUUUUGAAAUAAGUAACUGCUGCACUCAUAUUCUUAAAGUGUUCUUUCCUUCGAGUGUCUUCUCUAUGUUAAUUGCUUAUAACUUGUUUUGUAUAUAUUUAUUCACAUGUUGUCUAUAGAGGAGGCCCUGGUAUAUUUGUUUAGUUUUUAUCCUCCCAUGGAAUAAAGAAACCUGUGUGCUUAUGA